GCCAAUUAAGGACAAGCAAGGGAUAUGCCUGGGGAACAGUCGAAACGUGCUAGCGGGAUACCGUACGGCCAUACAGGUCAAGGGCAAAGCUAAAACAGAACAAUACAAUUAAAGCCUUCUCAAAUCAGGUAUCCGUAGGGUGUGAGGCUCUCCUUGGCACGGAAAGCCAGAUAGAUAGCAUUGGGAAUUGACAAUCUCCGGAGGAAGGAAAAAGUUUGAGGUCUUACAUCCGUCUUGCCUGUCUGUUUUGAUUCUCAUAUAAAAGCUGUCAGUGCGUGACACUAGCAGAUUUUUUACCGCUUUAUGUUAUAUCGAAAUACAGCAAAGGAAUGUUCCAGCUAGAUAGAAAUAGAGAACUUACAGUAAAGGCCACGCGUAUGUUUUAAGAAAGCUAUAGGCCUAAAGAAAUGUAAUUCCCAGGCGUAGUGCUUUGACAUCAAGAGCGAGUAGAAAAAGAAGCAAACGUGAAAAUAAAACCGUAACGCUUCUAGUGCCGCCCUGAUGGGCUAAGGUCGGUCCAGCAAUGAGCUUUCGUGCAAGAAGACUAACUAUCCAUGGAUAAAAUCUGACACUUAAUUGACUAUAUUUGAUUGAAAGCAUCUUGGUUACUCGUUUGAAUUAUUGAAAUGGAUGCUUUGUGUGACUCAGGGACAGGAGUGUUCAAUGACGGGGUGUUAGACGCCCACCUGCCGAUGCUAUUGUUACAGGUCUGUUGACAGCGAUUCAGACUGUUAUCACUGCAUUCGUCCACGUCUACACACUGAUGCUUGCCCUUCAGGCGGUAACCUUGAUGACAAGAGCAUGAAAAUGAGCCCACGGUGUUUGUGCACAGAUGUUCGCAGUCACCCUUCCCAUGGUUCCUUGCGCACUCGUCUAUAUCGACACACUGCUCGGUUCUAGAUGAAACAGUGGAAAGCAUGGAAAACAAUCAGCGAACUACUCAUAAAGGUGCUCGCACACAAGGGGACAUUUUUCAAAUACAUGACUCCGGAACAUGUAGCCGUUUUUAAAAAAAAAUCACGUUCCAUACAUAAAACGCGUCAUAGAGCGGGACAUAAAGCGCGGACAAAAUCACAACAUGUACACACAGAAUAAACUGCGCCAUACGCGUGUUCCUGGGACACCUAUCCAUUUUACUCACACACUAAGAAGCCUUUUAUAGGCUCAUAGGAACAUGCUUACGGCGCAGUAUAUUCUGUGUGUACAUGUUGUGAUUUUGUCCGCGCUUUAUUAUAAAAUAUAUAUCAUGAAAUAUAUCUAUUUAAGAGAAAGGGGAAAUUUUAAGCUUCAAUAAAUGUUCAUUUCUGCGAA